UACGUAGGUGGCAAGCGUUGUCCGGAAUUAUUGGGCGUAAAGCGCGCGCAGGCGGUCCUUUAAGUCUGAUGUGAAAGCCCACGGCUCAACCGUGGAGGGUCAUUGGAAACUGGAGGACUUGAGUACAGAAGAGGAAAGCGGAAUUCCACGUGUAGCGGUGAAAUGCGUAGAGAUGUGGAGGAACACCAGUGGCGAAGGCGGCUCUCUGGGACGGUACUGACGCUGAGACGCGAAAGCGUGGGGAGCGAACAGG
rnacentral:rRNA from 1 species